rnacentral:rRNA from 1 species
GACAGAGGGUGCAAACGUUGUUCGGAAUUAUUGGGCGUAAAGAGCUCGUAGGCGGUCUGUCGCGUCUGCUGUGAAAACCCGAGGCUCAACCUCGGGCCUGCAGUGGGUACGGGCAGACUAGAGUGCGGUAGGGGAGAAUGGAAUUCCUGGUGUAGCGGUGGAAUGCGCAGAUAUCAGGAGGAACACCGAUGGCGAAGGCAGUUCUCUGGGCCGUAACUGACGCUGAGGAGCGAAAGCGUGGGGAGCGAACAGG